rnacentral:tRNA from 1 species
GUCCUGGUAGCUCAGCUGGAUAGAGCAGCCGCCUCCUAAGCGGCAGGUCGGAGGUUCGAAUCCUCUCCAGGACGCCA